rnacentral:rRNA from 1 species
AACGAACGCUGGCGGCAUGCCUAACACAUGCAAGUCGAACGAGACCUUCGGGUCUAGUGGCGCACGGGUGCGUAACGCGUGGGAACCUGCCCUUAGGUUCGGAAUAACUCCCCGAAAGGGGUGCUAAUACCGGAUAAUGUCUUCGGACCAAAGAUUUAUCGCCUUUGGAUGGGCCCGCGUUGGAUUAGCUAGUUGGUAGGGUAAAAGCCUAUCAAGGCGACGAUCCAUAGCUGGUCUGAGAGGAUGAUCAUCCACACUGGGACUGAGACACGGCCCACACUCGUACGGGAGGAGGCAGUAGGGAAUAUUGGAGAAUGGGCGAAAGCCUGAUCCAGCAAUGCCGCGUGAGUGAUGAAGGCCUUAGUGUUGUAAAGCUCUUUUACCCGGGAUGAUAAUGACAGUACCGGGAGAAUAAGCUCCGGCUAACUCCGUG